UACGUAGGGUGCGAGCGUUAAUCGGAAUUACUGGGCGUAAAGCGUGCGCAGGCGGUCUGUUAAGACAGAUGUGAAAUCCCCGGGCUUAACCUGGGAACUGCAUUUGUGACUGGCAGGCUAGAGUAUGGCAGAGGGAGGUGGAAUUCCACGUGUAGCAGUGAAAUGCGUAGAGAUGUGGAGGAACACCGAUGGCGAAGGCAGCCUCCUGGGCCAGCACUGACGCUCAUGCACGAAAGCGUGGGGAGCAAACAGG
rnacentral:rRNA from 1 species